ensembl:snoRNA
GGGGCUCUGACUGAAGACCCCCAGUUUUUCUGUAGCUGUUGGUUUCAAGCAGGAGCCCAGAGCAAAAUCCCUCCCGGUCUGUUGGUGCUCCCACCCCGUGGAGUUCCCAGUUCGUGUGGGAGUGACACUG